AUUGAACGCUGGCGGCAGGCCUAACACAUGCAAGUCGAGCGGAGCGGCGGACGGGUGAUUAAUGCCUAGGAAUCUGCCUGGUAGUGGGGGAUAACGUCCGGAAACGGGCGCUAAUACCGCAUACUAUCAGAUGAGCCUAGGUCGGAUUAGCUAGUUGGUGGGGUAAAGGCCUACCAAGGCGACGAUCCGUAACUGGUCCGAGAGGAUGAUCAGUCAAACGGGAACUGAGACACGGGCCAGACUCCUAAGGUAGGCAGCAGUGGGGAAUAUUGGACAAUGGGCGAAAGCCUGAUCCAGGCAUGCCGCGUGGGUGAAGGAGGUCUUCGGAUUGUAAAGCACUUUAAGUUGGGAGGCGUUACCAACAGAAGAAGCACCGGGUAACUUCGUGCCAGCAGGCGCGGUAAUAA
rnacentral:rRNA from 1 species